CGGCCGGGCUCCGUGGCGGGCGGCAGCGGUGGUGGCGGCGGUGGCUCCAUUCCCCCUCCUCCCCCGGGAGAGGCGGCCGGGCCCGGGGAGACGGAGCGGAGGGCCGGAGCGGGAGGAGGCCGCGCUCCCUCAGCCGGGCCGCGCACGGAGCUGCUCGCUCGCCCGGCCCGCUCGCCCGGCCGCUCACCCGGCCGGCCGCGCUCGCGCUCAGGGGGCCCCCGAAGCUAGGGGCCCGGCCGGCGGCUGAGGUUUGCCUUCGUGGUUUCCAGUUGCCAUGAGGAAGCCUCGCCGAAAGUCACGGCAGAAUGCCGAGGGCCGGAGAUCCCCAUCCCCAUACAGUCUUAAGUGCUCACCCACACGGGAGACCCUGACUUACGCCCAAGCCCAGAGGAUUGUUGAGGUCGACAUCGAUGGCCGCCUACAUCGGAUCAGCAUUUAUGACCCACUUAAGAUCAUCACUGAAGAUGAGCUGACUGCUCAGGAUAUUACCGAAUGCAAUAGCAACAAGGAAAACAGUGAGCAGCCCCAAUUCCCUGCCAAGUCCAAGAAACCCUCAUCAAAGGGCAAGAGGAAGGAGUCCUGUUCCAAGCAUGCGUCCGGUACCUCCUUCCACCUCCCCCAGCCCAGCUUUCGUGUGGUGGAUACGGGGAGCCAGCCAGAAGCGCCCCCAUUGCCUGCUGCUUACUACCGAUACAUUGAGAAGCCUCCGGAAGACCUGGAUGCGGAGGUAGAGUACGACAUGGACGAGGAGGACAUUGCCUGGCUAGACAUGGUCAACGAGAAGCGCCGAGCAGACGGCCACAGCUCGGUGUCGGCAGACACCUUCGAGCUGCUGGUGGACCGGCUUGAGAAGGAAUCCUACCUGGAGAGCCGCAGCAGUGGGGCCCAGCAGUCCCUAAUCGACGAAGACGCCUUCUGUUGCGUGUGCCUGGACGAUGAGUGCCACAAUAGCAAUGUCAUCCUGUUCUGCGACAUCUGCAACUUAGCUGUGCACCAGGAGUGCUACGGCGUUCCCUAUAUCCCAGAGGGCCAGUGGCUAUGUCGCUGCUGCCUGCAGUCUCCCUCUCGUCCCGUGGAUUGCGUCCUGUGCCCCAAUAAAGGUGGGGCCUUCAAACAGACCAGUGAUGGCCACUGGGCCCACGUAGUCUGCGCCAUCUGGAUCCCUGAGGUCUGCUUCGCUAAUACCGUGUUCCUGGAGCCUAUUGAGGGCAUCGACAACAUUCCACCCGCCCGCUGGAAGCUAACCUGCUAUAUCUGCAAGCAGAAAGGGCUGGGCGCGGCCAUUCAGUGCCAUAAAGUGAACUGCUACACCGCUUUCCACGUGACAUGCGCGCAGCGGGCUGGGCUCUUCAUGAAGAUUGAACCCAUGAGAGAAACCAGCCUCAACGGCACCACCUUUACUGUUCGCAAGACUGCGUAUUGUGAGGCCCACUCUCCAAGUGUGGCCGUUGCCAGGAGAAAGGGCGACUCCCCAAGGAGCCUCAGUGAAGUCGGGGAUGAGGAUGGGCCGAAAGAGGGUGGAGGGGAGGAGGAGCAGGAAGAAGCUGAGGAGGAGGGCCAGGAAGGCCAAGGUGGGGUGGGCAGCCCCCUCAAGGGCGUGUCCAAGAAGGGUAAGAUGAGUUUGAAGCAGAAGAUCAAGAAGGAGCCAGAGGAAGCUGGCCGAGAGGCACCCUCCAUCACUCUCCCCAUGGUCACUGUCCCACAGAUACCCUCUUACAGGUUGAACAAGAUCUGUAGUGGUCUCUCCUUUCAGAGGAAGACCCAGUUCAUGCAGCGGCUUCACAACUACUGGCUGCUGAAGCGGCAGGCUCGGAACGGUGUCCCCCUCAUCAGGCGCCUGCACUCCCACUUACAGUCCCAGAGAAAUGCUGAGCAGCGGGAGCAGGACGAGAAGACUAGUGCAGUGAAGGAGGAGCUCAAAUACUGGCAGAAACUUCGCCAUGACCUGGAGCGAGCGCGGCUGCUGAUCGAGCUCAUCCGCAAAAGGGAGAAGCUCAAGCGGGAGCAGGUCAAAGUACAGCAGGCUGCCAUGGAGCUGGAGCUGAUGCCGUUUACGGUCCUGUUGAGGACGACUCUGGACCUGCUGCAGGAGAAAGACUCUGCACACAUCUUUGCUGAACCUGUCAGCCUGAGUGAGGUUCCAGAUUACCUGGAAUUCAUAUCCAAGCCAAUGGAUUUUUCUACUAUGAGGCGGAAGCUGGAAUCUCACCUGUACCACACCUUGGAGGAGUUUGAGGAGGACUUUAACCUUAUAGUUACCAACUGCAUGAAGUAUAAUGCUAAAGACACAAUUUUCCACCGAGCAGCUGUCCGCCUCCGGGACCUGGGAGGGGCCAUCCUGCGGCACGCCCGGCGGCAGGCAGAGAACAUCGGCUAUGAUCCUGAGAGGGGCACCCACUUGCCCGAAUCACCCAGAUUGGAAGACUUUUACCGAUUCUCCUGGGAGGAUGUGGACAACAUCCUUAUCCCAGAGAACCGGGCCCAUCUGUCCCCAGAGGCACAGCUGAAGGAACUGCUGGAGAAACUGGAUCUGGUGAGCACCAUGCGGUCCAGCGGGGCCCGCACCCGUCGUGUCCGCAUGCUGCGCAGGGAGAUCAAUGCCCUUCGGCAAAAGCUAGCACAGCCACCGCCACCACAGCUCCUGUCACUGAACAAGACUGUGCCCAACGGGGAGCUGCCAGCAGGAUCUCGGGGGGAUACAGCUGUCCUGGAGCAGGCUCAGCAGGAGGAGCCAGAAGAGGAAGGGGACAGAGAUGAUUCAAAAUUGCCUGCCCCACCAACCCUGGAGCCUACCGGGCCUGCGCCUUCCUUGUCAGAACAGGAAUCCCCUCCAGAUCCCCCAACCCUGAAACCCAUCAGCGACAGCAAACCUUCAAGCCGGUUCCUAAAGUCCCGGAAGGUGGAAGAUGAGGAGCUCUUAGAAAAAUCAGCCCUGCAACUGGGGAGCGAGCCCUUGCAAUGCUUGCUUAGUGACAAUGGCAUUGACAGACUGUCCCUCACAAACCCCGACAGCCAUCCUGACACCCCUCUCGGCACCGUGGGCCGCCGAACCUCCGUCCUCUUCAAGAAGGCCAAGAAUGGAGUUAAGCUACAGAGGGGUCCCGAUGGGACCCUUGAGAAUGGCGAGGACCAUGGCCCAGAGGACGAUCCUGCUUCUCCAGCCAGCACAGAGGAUGAACACUAUUCCCGGAAGCGGCCAAGGAGCCGGAGCUGUAGUGACAGUGAAGGGGAGAGGUCCCCUCAGCAGGAGGAAGAGACAGGCGUGACUAACGGCUUUGGAAAACACACGGAAAGCGGGUCUGACUCGGAAUGUAGUUUGGGUCUCAGUGGAGGACUGGCGUUUGAAGCUGGCAGUGGCCUGACGCCUCCCAAACGCAGCCGUGGGAAGCCAGCCCUGUCUCGUGUGCCCUUCCUGGAAGGUGUGAAUGGAGACUCUGACCACAGUGGCUCAGGUCAUGGUAGACCCUGGAAAUCCUUUGCUUUCACCAGCCUGCCCAGCGGCCCUCUGUGUGGGAGGACUUUUCAUUGGUUUCACUGAAGCCCUCCACAGGAGAGAUUUCAAGUGUCUUCCUUGGUGCUGUGAUGAGUAUCUGCUUGCACAGGUCGUCCCACCCAUGCAGUGUUAGGUUGCAGGAAGCGUGUGUUUGUAGCUCUAGCUGUUGUUGCUUCGCUUUGCUCUCUAGCGUCUCAGUGGUAAUGUGUCACUGAUAACCUGGCUCUGUCGAGAAUGUCUGUUUCGCCUGAUAGAAAAGCAGGCAAGGCAGGGCCGCAGGAGGCCUGGGGUGGCUCCCGGAUGGAACAGGUCUAGAGCAGCUGCUUCUUACCUCACGGUUGUCUGUCACAUCACUCGGGACGGCCCGUCUCUGCCGGUCUCUCUAACACAGGGUUCCUUCCCUGGUCCAGCUGUUUGCUUCCUUCUGCCUUUCUCAUGUCUGUUGACAGAUGCAUGCCUUUGAGUUCUCUUUCUUGUGAGUGUCUGCACACAGACGACAGGUCUCACGUCUAGACUCUGUGCGUCUGAGCGUGAAGUCAGGAAGUGGAUCUGACACACUUUGUACUUCUGGUGGUGACAUUUUUUUCCCUUUUUAAAUCCACAUACUAAAAAUGAUGCCAAACAAUAUUAAAAAAGACUUGCACUCCCGAAGCCCACCAUGGGAACACAGCUGCCCGUUCCUGGGUUGCUUCCGAUUCUUUUAGUCACAUUUUGACAAGUGCAGAUGAUACACACACUCUUUUUUUGUUGUUGUUGUUGUUUUCCAAACAGGGUUUCUCUGUAUAGCCCUGGCUGUCCUGGAACUCACUUUGUAGACCAGGCUGGCCUCGAACUCAGAAAUCGGCCUACCUCUGCUUCCUGAGUGCUGGGAUUAAAGGUGUGCGCCACCACGCCCAACUUGAUGCACACACUCUUGUGCUCACAGUUUUUGCUUGUAUAUUUCCUCCUUUUUGGCUCACAGUUUUUCUGUGCACUGUAUUACUGGAACCUUCUAUCUGACAAGCAGUGCUUUGUGGCUGACGUGACUGGACAAUGGGUGACCUCCAGCCUUUAACACAAACAAUAUGCACACUUUUGCCUGAACUCCUAUAGUAAAUUUCUUAUAAUAAAUGUCCUAAGCAGUUUACUGGAGCAGAUGAUGCAGACACGUAUUUUAAUGUUCCUGGGACAUUGGAUAGAAUCACAUUCCAAGAGAACCGGACCAGUCUGUAGUUUCUCCUCUGUGUGGCUCACGGGUUCCUGCUCAGCUGGUCUCGGUGCUGGCUUGUACUGGUUCACUGUCAGCUCACUGGCUCGAAAUGGCACCUUUCCUUUUCAUCCUAGUUAAGAACUAUACAUCUCUGCUCUCAGAUUUGAGCCCUUUUCCUUAGCUGGGUGAAUGGUCACUUCCUGGUCACAGUUUCAGGUGUCCGGGAAAGAAUGUGGUUUUCGUGGUGCUCAGAGCAUGAGUGAGGCCAAGGAGGUGCAGCCUGUCCGUCCCAGGCCGGAUGGAUACCCAGGGUCAGGAAAUACCUGCCCGGCUGCAUGGCACUGCUGGUUUGUGGUGCAGCCAGGUGCUUGGAUGGCCCCUCGUGGCCUGGUCAGAGCAGUGUUCAGGUUCUAUUGAGAUGGCCUUCUCCGAAUUUUCCCUCAAAGCUUCCAUGAGAGGGACUCCCAACCUGGGGUGCAGACAGUGCUGUCUCUUCUUAAGCUGGGGCAUGUCCCCUUCUCCUUAAGAGGCCCUGGAGGUGAAGCCAUUAUUUUUCCCCCAGGGAAGCUGUCCCAGAAUCCAGAGUCAGAGGUUGGUAAACUAUAGCCUGCUGUCUGUUUUUAUGUGGCUCACAAACUAAAAAUGGGCCUACAUCUCAAAUUACAAAAAAGAUGGUCUUUUAUAAUGUGAAAGUUGUAUGAAAUUCAAAUUUCAGUGUCAGAAACAUGAGUUACUGCUGAGGAGACAUGCUCAUCUGCUUAGACUCUGGUUAUACCCAUGCUGCAGCCGCAGAGACUGUGCGGCUCCUGAAAGGGUGAAAUAUGUGCUAUUCGGCCAUUUACUUUGCUGACCCCUGACCUGGUCUUAGAGUCCCUGAGGAAAGGGUGGAGGGAGUUGUUGCCUCAAUCCUGGGCUGCCCCAGUCAGAUGGAAGCUGCAGGCAAGGGCUUUGGGGCACCAUGCCAAGUCCCCUUUGGGCGCUGUCUCCUCCCCUCCCCCACCCCCCAGGCAGAAGCCUCCUGAUGCCCUUUGAAGACCACGGAGACCUGGAGCCCCUGGAGCUGGUGUGGGCCAAGUGCCGAGGCUACCCCUCCUACCCUGCCUUGAUCAUCGAUCCCAAGAUGCCCCGGGAGGGCCUCCUGCACAACGGUGUCCCCAUCCCUGUCCCUCCACUGGACGUGCUGAAGCUGGGCGAGCAGAAGCAGGCAGAGGCUGGAGAGAGGCUCUUUCUUGUCCUCUUCUUUGACAACAAGAGGACCUGGCAGUGGCUUCCAAGGGACAAAGUCCUGCCCCUGGGUGUGGAGGACACUGUGGACAAGCUCAAGAUGCUAGAAGGCCGCAAGACCAGCAUCCGGAAGUCAGUACAAGUGGCCUAUGACCGCGCCAUGAUCCACCUGAGCCGAGUGCGUGGCUCCCAUGCCUUUGUCACUUCCAGCUACCUGUGAGAGCCGAGCUGGGCCUGUGUCUGCCUUCUUUGCCUCUCCUCUGUCCCUGAGGCAUGAGAACCUCUGCUGCCCCUGCCACGUGUAUGGCCGGCAGCUUCUUUCUAAUGGCAGGCCCUGACUGGACUGGGUCUCCGAGGGCAAGACCCAAUAUUGACCAAUCAUGUGGUUCCCCUGGAGGGCUGCUGUGUGCCAAAAAACUCCCACCCGAGGUCCCUGGGGAUAUUCCACUGAAGAACCACUUAGAAGUAGAAACAGCUGAGAGUCUUAGCCAGCCAGGGAGAUAGACCUGGCCCACAAGGCAAGAGGGCCUAGGCUGCUUUUCUGGGGCCAGCCGGCUCUCUCCAUGUCUCUCCCACCUAACCAUACCUCAGGGCAGGCAAGGUUCUGACAUUGAUCCCAGAGAUGUGCCAGGGUCCCUCGGGAACCCUCAGAGCUUCCCUUCCCCCACACCGCCCGUGCUUGCACCCCCCUGUCUCAUCUCCCACACCCAACCCAGGUUCUCCCUUCCCUCAUUGCUCUCUGCUCUCCCUUGUGCCAAACUGACAGCAACAUCACCAAAUUGAUCUUUUUCUUUGAUGUCCCAUUUCCUUCCUGGCCAGCUGCUACAUUAGAUGGAUGUCUGCCAGGCGCUUGAGUCCCAGGUAGAAGCUACCCCACCUGUAAGGACCCUCCCCCACUCACAGCCCUCCAGCAGGCAUGCUGCUGCCCUCCCCUCCUGCAGCAGCCAUAAGCCUCACUGCAUCAGCAUGAUCACCGCGGCACGGGCGGCGGGUGGCGGGUGGCGGGUGGCGGGUGGCGUGCGGCAUGGCACUGCCCUCCAGCACCCGCCCUCUGGGAUUGCUGCCCCUGCCUCCCAGAACAGGGCUCUUUUCUUUCAUCUCCUGCCUUCAACCUCUUCUCCACCAUCACCUCCUCAAUCCCUACCCUCAAAAAGGAAGGAAAACCAAACUGUGAAUGAGGAAAGCUGACUGACAAGCCAACGCAGCUCUCAGAGGCUUCUGCUCUUGACAUUUCUUUUCACUUCUUUAAGCACCAAAGCCGCAGGCGGGUUUGCAGACCGCCAAUUGCCAUGUUGACUUCUACCUUGAUGUUAUUUUUAAUUGUUUUCAAUUUUUUCAUAGGGGAGUUUUGGGCAAAAAACGAAGUCCCUGGGGAGAUCACUGCCAUUUUUACAUACUCAAACUUUUUAAAGAAAUACAACCAACCAACCACCAACUUCUUACACUUUUGGGACUCGAGCCAGAGUUUAAAAGGGAACCAACAAAACUCACCAAGAGGGCCAGGUUCUGUCCAGCAAACAGCACAGCCACGCGGGACAGGGCGUGGUGUACAUAACUGUAAGAUAGCAGGCACACACUCUCCAUUACCGGAACCCUCCCUUGUGCAUCCAUGCUGCACAGCCUAAUCAAGGAGCCGACACGUCCCCCUAUCCCCAGGUAGCUGGUCAGCUGUGGACUCUGUGACCCUUGUCUAAACCUGUGUCAAGAUCUUGGGGCUUCUCCCUUUCUGUCUCCUUCCCCCAACACUAUCUCCUCUGUCUCUAUUUUUCAGUCUCGGAAUCCUUCCCUCUCUCCGAGUCCCACUUUAAAAACUGCUCUUUUAGGACAGGAUGCGGCUCGGAUCUGCUGUGGCACAGGGCCUCUUCUCUGUCUGGUCUGCUGUGAAGCACAUGAUGCUCUAUUUAUUGUAGAAAGUGACUUUAUUUGCCUUCUAGAAUUGUUUAUAACAGAUGGUUAUAAGAGAGGUAAUAAACAGAAAAACCUAUGCCUGUAAAGAAUACAAGAGUUAAUUUUACCUACCAUAAUAUGAUGUCUUAUUUUCUCUCCGAGAAAUAAAUGUUCUAUGGGC